rnacentral:rRNA from 1 species
UAACGCGAAGAACCUUACCAAGGCUUGACAUACACCGGAAACGGCCAGAGAUGGUCGCCCCCUUGUGGUCGGUGUACAGGUGGUGCAUGGUUGUCGUCAGCUCGUGUCGUGAGAUGUUGGGUUAAGUCCCGCAACGAGCGCAACCCUCGUUCUAUGUUGCCAGCGCGUUAUGGCGGGGACUCAUAGGAGACUGCCGGGGUCAACUCGGAGGAAGGUGGGGAUGACGUCAAAUCAUCAUGCCCCUUAUGUCUUGGGCUUCACGCAUGCUACAAUGGCCGGUACAAAGGGCUGCGAUACCGUAAGGUGGAGCGAAUCCCAAAAAGCCGGUCUCAGUUCGGAUUGAGGUCUGCAACUCGACCUCAUGAAGUCGGAGUCGCUAGUAAUCGCAGAUCAGCA